rnacentral:rRNA from 1 species
UACAUGGGGUGCAAACGUUGCUCGGAAUCACUGGGCGUAAAGGGCGCGUAGGCGGGAUGGCAAGUCAGUCGUGAAAUCUCUCGGCUCAACCGAGAAACGUCGGCUGAUACUGCCGUUCUUGAGGGAUGCAGAGGAGACUGGAAUUCCCGGUGUAGCGGUGAAAUGUGUAGAGAUCGGGAGGAACACCGGUGGCGAAGGCGGGUCUCUGGGCAUUUCCUGACGCUGAGGCGCGAAAGCGUGGGGAGCAAACGGG